AAUUUCUAUGUAAUUACAAAGACAAUCUUUAUUAUUAAAAUGAAUAUUAUAAGUUAUAGCCAUAAAUAAAUUCCAAGUGCAACAUUUUCACAGUAUCUUGGGAGUAAAAUCAAAAGGUGACAUAAAAUGUAAGUUGCGCAAGAGUUCCACAGAUGCACCCUCUCAGACCAAGGCAGCUUGGUCUGUUGCUCCUGGGGCAGAUGGCUUCUCUUUGUGGAAUUACCAGCUAACAGAAUUGGCUGCUUAACUGAGUGACAAUGAAAACAUAUAAACCAUUUGAAUAUAAUAAUAAUAACAAUAUUUUUACAUAGAAAUCACUACAUACAAAGUUUUUCUUAUUGGAAUACUUACGCAUUUUUGAAUCAAAAUUCAACAACUUUAUAUAGGAAAUGUGGAAUUAUUUAUCUUGAAGUAUACAUUACUAUGGUUGAGGGUGUUUACUCUUUGCACCACAAUUUCAUAGAACCCAGAGAGUGAUAAAUGAGAAGUCUGGAUAAGCCAUGGAAUGGAGAAGCUCAGAGAACAGGCUGCUGUCUGGAUCGUAGCUGCACCAGUACUCCUAAAUUAGUAAGCUACUAGUUUAGACUUUCCCCUGAAAAUCAGGCCCAACGUAGGAAAGGAGAGAGGCAAAAUGAAAAGAAGGUGAGCAGACAUCUGAGAAACUGAUAGCCAUGUUCAUGGAUACAUUUCUUAAUUUCUUAAAAGUCAGCAUUCCCAUUAUGGUAACCAAAGUAGGUGUUUGCUUACUGUAUGCAAUAUGAAAGUCACCACUUUGGUUUAAUGCCUAGUCCUAAAGCCUGGAAUUCAGAUAUUCCUGGGUAAAUUAAUAUGAACCUAACAUUAGCUAUUAGCACCAUGGUGUGAAUGAAUUGAUCAGGUUGCUGCCUGGGAGAGCAAGGGAAUCAAGCAGAAGACAAAACCAAACAUCUCCUGAAAAUAUUUCCCUUCCUCUUUAAGAAAAAUAUAGUCAAAGUGAAAUCAAUAUGUUAAUUAAAUCAAAUCAAUCAUCUUCCAAAGUGACCUUAGGAAGUGUAAUUCAUGCUAAUCUAGAAAAUACUAAGCACAAAUACUAUAGAUAAGACUCUCACAUUAAAAGUACCCACAGUUAUUUCACAAUUCCACAAAAUUAUUACUUGCAAUCCUAUUGCAACACUAAAUUAUAGUCAAACAAAAGACACUUUAAAGCAAAGAGACAAGACACAGUUAUAGAUGCCCUAUUUAAAAUACAGUUUAACACUUAUUGAAAACUUAUUUAACACAUCAAAACAUAUACCUUACAAUGAUUAGUUAGGAGACACAUAGAUACACUUGCUAGCAGCACAAAGUCAGUUUUCUAAUAGGGUAUUAUCUUAAUAACAACAUAUGUGUAAAAUCAACACUUGUCCAAAGAAAACUUUAGAAAACUUUCCAUCAGUCUAGAUAUUAGAAUUCAUUUUGAUGUCACCAGUUUUCCCCUAAUGUAUUAGUAUCAUAACUGUAUGCCUAAAACAACCCCUUUCCUCUAAAUAUGAUAAAGCCUUUGAUUGGGUUCUACAUUCCUUCUGUGAGACGUAGAAGGUAUCUUCAUUAUAUAGCACACAGAUUUUAAGUAGAACUUUCUUAAAGUUAGAGCUUUUUGCUAAAACAUGUUUCAAAAUAUUCUAAUACUUACAACCUAAGGUUUAAUUACGACUAAUAUCCUGGGUCUGUUUCCCACACAAUAGUACCAAACAGGUAGUAGGCAAGUCAUUGGCCAUUGGUUGCCAAAGGCUGACCAAAUUAAUCUUCUAUGCAUUUUUCAAGAGGUGAAAUAAUUGCCUUCCCCAGCUGCUAAGAGCUAGGCUUUGUAGGCUUUAGAAUGGUAUGUCUGGGGCAAAGCUAGACCAAAAAAAAUCAAUGUGGAUUCUAGGGUCCAUGUGACUGACUGUAAUAUGUAUGCAAUGAUGGGGCAGAGAGACUUACUCUGGCUUGUGUAAGUAACUUGGCAGUCUAAGCUAAGUAAGUGUCCUUGUAUUAGAGUAAGAAAUACAAUGUGAUGAGAAUUUUAAAAAGAUUACCCAACUUUGCUUCAUCUUUUCACUCUGGCCCAGGUUUAAUGAUUCAUUAGUGCACUACUUCUUCCACAGGCUCAGAAAGUGCAGGAACCUGUCAACAUUACCUCAAUGUAUCUCUAGAAACAUGAUAAAAACUUCCUCUACUAGGCGGGUCCAUACAUCUCCAGAAGUGUUCUUUAGAAAAAGUGUAAGAGAGCAGAAUUGUGAUUGUCACCUUUCUGCUUUCUCCUAGGCCUAGAGCCCAAUUGAGUCACCUUGUAUGGACUUUGACAAACUACCUGUCCUAGGUAGAUGCAACACGGCAUCUUUUCCAGUCACAGAGGGUUGUCGUAUGUAAAUAUGUAUAUUGUUCUUAGUUUAAAUAUGCCAGAGGCCUGAGUUCAGAUUUUCAUUCUGUGAACAGGUGUGACAAAUGAUGUUUCAUGUUGACACAAAAAUGAAGAAAAUAGCUAUUUUAAUCUUCAAACUCUGAAGAGUAAUCACACUUGAGAGAUAAAAAUGAUCUUAUGUUUACAUUUUCUUUACACAGGGUAAUAUAUCAUCUAUCCCACUAAAAUAUAACCAAACAUAUGAAAAUGGCAUGUAAACUGUGAUUACUAAUAUAAAAAGACACUUACAUUUCCUCUGAACAUAAAGACUCAGUAUCUGUUGCAACAAAACUAAAUGUUUAUGGUGACUCCAAGCUAAUAAUCUUUUUGUGCCUGAGGUUCACAGGUAAAAGUACUGACUACAGUUGAGUGCAUAUGUUUAUAGGAUGUCACAGAAAUUUGAUAUUUUAAGAUUUACAGACUUGAAGAAAAAUUACUACAUGGACAUGUCAACAUCAAUAAUCGUGGAUCGUAAUGCUCCAAAUAGGUCCUGCUUUGAAGAAGUGAAU
rnacentral:lncRNA from 10 species